UAUAAUAUAAAAUAAUUAAUAUUAUAUAUGGCAUUAAAAGUUGUAUUUGUUUUGUUCCUUGCAAUGCUUUUGUUUACGAUCGAAGAAUAUUAAUGCUGAGAUUGUUGGAGACUAUUUACACUGUGUAUUCAUGAUCGUGAUUGCUUUAUUAGCCUUCCAUGUCAGGUUGGGUGUGGUGCCUAUUGUGCUAUACAUCCAUCACUUACUCUUAGUGCUACUGAUAACGUAGAAAUUCAAACUCGCGUUUGUAAUGUUGGAUGUUUUCUUGGCCAUUGUUACAAAUUUCUCAUCAAUAAAUAUGAUCAUGAAAAGUUUGGAAGGUGCAUGACAAGUUGCAAUGAGAACUAUUGUAUUAAUGACAAUGAUAAUAAUAUUGCUCUACCAAAAGCUUAACAAGAAGCAUUAAUUUUGACCACAAAGUAUAUAUAUAUUGUGUCAUCUAUGACACUAUGCUAAUUAAAUACUUUUGUGGUUGUAAUUUUCUAAAUUAUGUAAUCGUUAUGUGUGUUGGUAUUUGAAUAAAAGUCUAGUGUUUCCUAUUAA